UACGAAGGGGGCUAGCGUUGCUCGGAAUCACUGGGCGUAAAGGGUGCGUAGGCGGGUCUUUUAAGUCAGGGGUGAAAUCCUGGAGCUCAACUCCAGAACUGCCUUUGAUACUGAAGAUCUUGAGUUCGGGAGAGGUGAGUGGAACUGCGAGUGUAGAGGUGAAAUUCGUAGAUAUCCGCAAGAACACCAGUGGCGAAGGCGGCUCACUGGCCCGAUACUGACGCUGAGGUGCGAAAGCGUGGGGAGCAAACAGG
rnacentral:rRNA from 1 species